rnacentral:rRNA from 1 species
AAUUCCGUCGGAAUCUGGGAGGACCAUCUCCUAAGGCUAAAUACUCUCUAGUGACCGAUAGUGAACCAGUACCGUGAGGGAAAGGUGAAAAGCACCCCGGAAGGGGAGUGAAAUAGAACCUGAAACCGUGUGCUUACAAGUAGUCAGAGCCCGUUAAUGGGUGAUGGCGUGCCUUUUGUAGAAUGAACCGGCGAGUUACGAUUUGAUGCAAGGUUAAGCAGUAAAUGUGGAGCCGUAGCGAAAGCGAGUCUGAAUAGGGCGUUUAGUAUUUGGUCGUAGACCCGAAACCAGGUGAUCUACCCUUGGUCAGGUUGAAGUUCAGGUAACACUGAAUGGAGGACCGAACCGACUUACGUUGAAAAGUGAGCGGAUGAACUGAGGGUAGCGGAGAAAUUCCAAUCGAACCUGGAGAUAGCUGGUUCUCUCCGAAAUAGCUUUAGGGCUAGCCUCAAGUGAUGAUUAUUGGAGGUAGAGCACUGUUUGGACGAGGGGCCCCUCUCGGGUUACCGAAUUCAGACAAACUCCGAAUGCCAAUUAAUUUAACUUGGGAGUCAGAACAUGGGUGAUAAGGUCCGUGUUCGAAAGGGAAACAGCCCAGACCACCAGCUAAGGUCCCAAAAUAUAUGUUAAGUGGAAAAGGAUGUGGCGUUGCCCAGACAACUAGGAUGUUGGCUUAGAAGCAGCCAUCAUUUAAAGAGUGCGUAAUAGCUCACUAGUCGAGUGACACUGCGCCGAAAAUGUACCGGGGCUAAACAUAUUACCGAAGCUGUGGAUUGUCCUUUGGACAAUGGUAGGAGAGCGUUCUAAGGGCGUUGAAGCAUGAUCGUAAG